ensembl:lncRNA
AGAGUCAGAGUCUGUGCGUUUAGGGUGCGGCCUUUCUCAGAGGGAUCGACUGAGACUUACCGAAUCCUAGAAGUCUUUACCUGAGGCAGUUCUUGCAGUGUACUGUAUAUUUCAUGACAUUCCAGAAAAGGUAGUGUGAAGGACCAUGUGCCACGUUGGGCCUGCCUGAAUAACUGCCAGACCCUACAGGAAUAACCUGCUGGGGGAAUCUCUACCUUUGGAGAGCCAGGAGGCCACCAUGACAACACUGAGUUCAGUAGACUCCUAGGAGAGCUGUGAUCCAAUUGCCAGGAAGCCAGGAUCAGAAAGUUCUUGCCAGCACUGCUGCCAUUGCCUCCUACUCUCACAAAGAUCAAGACCGCACGCUAGAGUGAUGCUGUGGAAAAACCAUCUCCAUGACCUUGCUGGGCAGCAGCAGCAGGAAGAUGGCCUCCUCUUCACAUUUGUCCUCCUGAUAUUCUACCAGUACAUCUAAUUAGAAUUGGAACUCUAGUUGAGGGAGUCUGGGAAAUGAAGACUAGCUUUCCAUCUUUUGCUGUGUGCCAGUUGACCAUAUCUAAUAUCACUGUCUUCUUUCUUAGAGUAACCACUUCACUCCUACCUUUUCGCCUUCCUAAAGAACCACUGUGAGACCACUCUUCUCCUGUCACUCCCCUACCUCACCUUGUAUGCUUCCACACCUACAUUGUUUUCUUUUUUCUUUUCUUUUCUUUUUUUUUUUUUUUGCUUCUCCUUCCCACCUGGCCUAUCCUUCAAUGGUCAGGUUAACAUGUUACCCCCACAAUGGAAGCUUCUCUGACUUAUUUCUUCAGCAAACUCAAUUGACCCUUUUUCUGGGCUCCUACAACAUUUUGUAAAAAGUCACUGCUAUAGUACAUAUAAUUAACAUCAUAAGUUGUUGUUUUUCUUUCUGCCAGACUGUGAGCCUUUGAAGGGCAGGUACUAUGUUUUAGUUUUCUGUUCUCAAUGUCUAGUCCAGGGUCUGGCUCAGAGUGAAUAAAUGUUGAUGGAGUGAAUAAUACAUGAUGAAAAUGGCAUAAUCUUAAUCCUCUGGAGCUUUAGUAAGUGAGGGAAACGUGUUUAUAAGGCAGACAAAAUUCUACUGGGAAGUCUUCAUCAUAUCCCAAAGGCUCUAUUUUCUAUAUAGUCUUCUGUGGAAUUUAGAGACAACCAAUUUGACAAGAGGCUCCCCUAGAUUUGGUUGGGGAAGCCCUUCCCUGUGAAAGAAGAGAGAUUCUGUGAAUUAGUCAUUUGCCUAGUUUCUUGUAAGUGUAGACUUACCUCAGAACAGAGACAUGUAAGCAUCCACCUCUCAACCUAUCUCCAAUCCAGCUAUUUGAGAGGAAGUAUAUGGUUUGGCAAAGCUAAAUCUCCAAAACGAAAACCUCUUGGGCAAGUAAAGGCAGCUAAACCUUGUAAGUUGUUAGUAUACCCAGACUUUGUUUCUGUGCAAGCCCAUCUAUUAAGAUGGACAGGCAUGAUGGCUCAUGCUUGUAAUCCCAGCUUCUUGGGAGGUUGAAGUGGGAGAAUCUUGGUUGAGCCUAGGAGUUCAAGCUAUGAUAGUGCCAGUGCACUCCAGCCUGGAUGAUAGCGAGAUCCUGUCUCGAAAACAAAAACAGAAGAUGGAAAGGGGAGUGGGACGGCAAAGGUCAAGAAGGAAGAUUCAGCACAGAAUCCAGGGAACACAAGUUAUGAGGGCCAAGGAAAGCAGGACUUCCAGACCUGGACCUCACUUGCCGAUUGGGAAAAAAGUCCUCAAACCUAUUCCUUCUUACACUGGCCUUAGAUGAUUUUCUGACAACUCUUGUGCUCGUGUGCUGUUGUUCAGCUGGUGUUUGAUAAUGGGAAUGUGUCUGAAAUGAAAAGAACAAUAGGCCAGGAAACCUUAUAGCCUGGAUAUUUUAACUUUUAGGUAAAUAUUUAAAUAAUUUGGCAGAGGCUGUUAUAAGUAGUAAUUAUAGGUCUACCCCUAAAUUAAGGCUACUAGUUAUUCAGUUGUUUUUCCUUGAGUAUUUAUAUAAGAAACUACUAAACUGUAACAUUUUAUAAUAUUCUGUGACAUAUAAGAUGUUCCGCUUCCUGUGGCUCCAGUUAUUCUAUCAUUUUUUUUUUGUUUUUAUUCUACAUAUUGCCUCUAGGUUAUACAAGUUUUUUCCUUCCCCUGGUAAAUGAAAUCACUAUAUUUAAAGUGGUAUAUUGGUAUAUUUUAGGGCAAACAGCAAAAAAAAUAAUAAUAAUAAUAAUAAUAGGUUCCUUACCUAAGCUAUACCUCCUAAGGAAAGGGAUUUGGGGGGGUCUUGAUUUUUCAUCUGCCAAGUAGAAAACCUUCUAUCCAUUUUCACCCAAGAAUUGACAAUCUGAAGGUCACUGUAUUUGGUGCUCAAUUGUCAUAAUGAAAUAGUCCCCAGCAGAGAUCUCUUCAGAUUAUUGCAAGGGCAAACCAGGAUUACUGAAAUAUUUUCAUGUACAAUUGUUAUACUGACCUUCAACUUCUGAUAAUAAAAUAAAUGCUGAAAUUUUAGAGUGUGCUUUUAAGAAAUGCCUGAAUAAGCCUACAUUUGACUAAUCAUAGGAUAAGUUUACUUGUCCAGUUUUAAAUUCAAGCAUGAAUAUAAUUUUUGUAAUUAAUAUGUAUUUUCACACUCUUUACAAACCAAUAUUGUAAUAAGUGAGUUUUGCUGUCAUAGUUUUUAAAACUUAUUUUUAUUUUUCCCA